UACGUAGGGUGCAAGCGUUGUCCGGAAUUAUUGGGCGUAAAGAGCUCGUAGGCGGUGUGUCGCGUCGGCCGUGAAAACCUGCAGCUUAACUGUGGGCGUGCGGUCGAUACGGGCAUCACUGGAGUUCGGCAGGGGAGACUGGAAUUCUUGGUGUAGCGGUGAAAUGCGUAGAUAUCAAGAGGAACACCUGAGGUGAAGACGGGUUGCUGGGCUGACACUGACGCUGAGGCGCGAAAGCUAGGGGAGCGAACGGG
rnacentral:rRNA from 1 species